UACGUAGGGGGCGAGCGUUGUCCGGAUUUAUUGGGCGGAAAGAGCGUGUAGGCGGCCAGGUAGGUCCGUUGUGAAAACUCGAGGCUCAACCUCGAGACGUCGAUGGAAACCAUCUGGCUAGAGUCCGGAAGAGGAGAGUGGAAUUCCUGGUGUAGCGGUGAAAUGCGCAGAUAUCAGGAAGAACACCUAUGGCGAAGGCAGCUCUCUGGGACGGUACUGACGCUGAGACGCGAAAGCGUGGGGAGCGAACAGG
rnacentral:rRNA from 1 species